UACGGAGGGUGCAAGCGUUAUCCGGAUUUACUGGGUUUAAAGGGUGCGUAGGUGGGUAAGUAAGUCAGUGGUGAAAUCUUCGAGCUUAACUCGGAAACUGCCAUUGAUACUAUUUAUCUUGAAUACUUUGGAGGUAAGCGGAAUAUGUCAUGUAGCGGUGAAAAUGCUUAGAUAUGACAUAGAACACCAAUUGCGAAGGCAGCUUACUACACAGUUAUUGACACUGAGGCACGAAAGCGUGGGGAUCAAACAGG
rnacentral:rRNA from 1 species